GCCCGGUUAGCUCAAUCGGUAGAGCGUGAGACUCUUAAUCUCAAGGUUGCGGGUAAGUCUAACUACAUAACUCCCUCCCUACCUGUACACACAGAGGGUUCGAAGUAACUACGUAGUAAUACAUAUGUUCGAUAAAAGCUAACAUUUCUACUCCUACUCCUAGGUUCGACCCCCGCAUCGGGCU